AAGAAGAUUCGAAUUCCAGUCACUUUAGAUAUCAAU
rnacentral:sRNA from 1 species